UUAGACGUGUGAAGGAGGGACACGCGCGGUAGAGGAGGAGGAAAGACAACAGCAGCCGCUCUGGACAUCCAUGUGUUUUAUUCUAUGUAACAAAAAUAAUGACAUCGUCUUUGUUCUAGGAGCCUAACAAUAUUGGAAACAGAAAGGGAACAGAAGCCAAAUCAGCAGACGGGACAAAGAGACAUUUACAUGAACAUCAUAGAGAAAUGCUGAAGAGUAGAAGUAUAUUGCACAAUCGAGCACAAAUGAUCCCCCGUCAGAAAGGAAGAGCGGAGCGUCCGCGCUGAUCCUCACGCCGCACAGCUCAGCGCGUCUGUCCAGAGCUCCGACAGCUGAUGAGCCGCACCGCGUGUGAUCAAUACGCCAUCACUCCGCGUUUAACUCCACCUGAUACGACCGGCGGCCAUCGGUCUCUCCACGUGACACACUCCCAGCUUUGGCACACACACACACACACACACACACACACACACACACAAACCCACAGAUUAAAUGUUUAAAUGUUUUCUCGUUUGAGGGGUUUCGAAUCGGACACUGCAUGGGAGAACAGCUGAUGAGCGGAGCGUUCGGAGAGAGCAAAUCAGAAGACGCACUCUCCUGCAGCCCCGUGCCGGUGCUAAUUAAGAUGGACGGGAUCUAAUAAGCGGGAGGAGAUUGGAGAUCAACACGUGUGUGGAGCCACUUUGGGAGCCAAUCUGUCCCAAUCAAACUGUUUCAUUUCGUACCGAUGAAUGUAGAAUGGGAUGACUAACAAAGCCUGUGACAGUAAUGAAGUGAGUCAAAGCAAGAGGCGACAGAACACACGGGGUUUGCGUGGGUGACUGUUUGUACACUGCAAACAAAGUAAUCUAGUCAACCUUAACCGCAUGACUUUGUUUUUAUUUCUGAAAAUCGGUGCACAAAAUCUGCCAGUGGAGCGAUUUCUUAAAAACUUGAACAACUCCAACAAAAAAACAUUCAUACAAGCCCGCAUGUGUAGAUGGAAGAUAUUUAAAAUCGCUUUCCUGCUGCUGCAAUAAAACAAAACUUUUGUUUUUGUUUUUGCCACAUGAUGGGACAAAAACAAUUGUUGGUGUUUGAUCACCUUAUAAAGCUGUGAUAGCUAUAAUUGUCUAUUACCAUGAGGGGCAGGUACAGAGCAACAUUAGCAUUCAUUAGCUUCUGGUUUAGGUUAAUGUACUCAAGUUCUGUAUACUUAAGUUCAAUUUUGAGGUAUUUGUACUUUACUUGAAUAUUUCCAUUUUCUGCUACCUCAUACUUUUACUUUAAUACAUUUAUCUACUUGAUACUUCGCUGAUUACAUGCUGCAUCCAAGUCAAAGCAACAUAUUUUCGAAUUAAUGUAUCCUUAAUUACAUAAAGAAAAAAGUAACACUUUACUUUUACUGCUACUUUUGAUACUUAAGUCCAUCACCAGUCAGAUACUUUAAGACUUUUACUCAAUUAACUAUUUAUAUGGGUGACUUUCACUUUAGCCUAAGUAGUACUUAACAUCAUAUGUUGACUUUUACCUCAAGCAUGACUUUUGGGUGCUCUUUACAACACUGCUUCAGAGAGCCUUAAGAUUGCAAGCCUCUUAGUCAAUUUGUUUCACCUAUGUCAGUCUACUUUAAAUGUUUAGCAUGAAGAUGUUAGUGUUAUGUGGUUCAAUAAAAAGCCAAGAAACAGGUAAAAAAAAAAAAAAAAAAAAUGUCUGUCACAGAACAAUCCAUUCCAGUUUACCCUGCGCAGAGGCAACUCACCCCACUUUCAGAUUUUUGCACUUCUUCUGAGAAACACAAGACCGUCAUGACUAAUGAAGCUGUUGACAUCUCAUAACAGUGUCAGUUUUGAUCUCGAGGCGUGUUCGUUAUAUAAGCUGUGCGGCAGUUGGGCCGUUGUGAGGUGUGACAUUAUACCUCCAUCCACUGGGUGACACUGUGACACAGGACAGGUUUUUUUUUUUUUUUUUUUUUUUUCCCCUUCUCACCAGCGACACCCCUCUCCUCACACCUCGGGCUUCUCCUGCCAACAACUUCUCAACAACUCCCAUUUCAGAAAACCCGUCGAAGCCAUUUGGUGAACCGUAACGUCUAUAUGGAGGAAGAAGACAAAAGGGAGGGAAAGCCGGACAGUGGGAGAAGAGAAAGAGGAGAGACGGCUACUUCAGCUUUUCGUGCGAAACAACGAUGAAUCAUGGAGUCAGGCUCACCUUAACAUAGAGCUGCUGAAACUCCUCCAGGUUGAGGAUGCCGGAGGGACAGUCUUUGAGGAAGCCUUUGUACCACUGCUUGAGCUCUGCCUCGUUGAAUUCGGUGUUCUUGGUCAGGUCAUC